rnacentral:rRNA from 1 species
ACACGACUACAUUAGAUACCCCCGUAGUCCAGGGUGUAAACGCUGCGGGCUUGGUGUUGGGGGUCCUUUGAGGGCGCCCAGUGCCGGAGAGAAGUUGUUAAGCCUGCUGCUUGGGGAGUACGUCCGCAAGGAUGAAACUUAAAGGAAUUGGCGGGGAGCACCACAAGAGGUGGAGGCUGCGGUUCAAUUGGACUCAACGCCGGAAAACUCAUCGGGAGCGACAGCAGUAUGAUUGCCAGGUUGAUGACCUUGCUUGACAAGCUG